rnacentral:rRNA from 1 species
AUUGAACGCUGGCGGCAUGCCUUACACAUGCAAGUCGAACGGUAACGGGCCUUCGGGUGCCGACGAGCGGCGAACGGGUGAGUAAUACAUCGGAACGUGCCCGAUCGUGGGGGAUAACGAGGCGAAAGCUUUGCUAAUACCGCAUCCGAUCUACGGAUGAAAGCAGGGGACCGCAAGGCCUUGCGCGGACGGAGCGGCCGAUGGCAGAUUAGGUAGUUGGUGGGAUAAAAGUUUACCAAGCCGACGAUCUGUAGCUGGUCUGAGAGGAUGAUCAGCCACACUGGGACUGAGACACGGCCCAGACUCCUACGGGAGGCAGCAGUGGGGAAUUUUGGACAAUGGGCGCGAGCCUGAUCCAGCCAUGCCGCGUGCAGGAUGAAGGCCUUCGGGUUGUAAACUGCUUUUGUACGGAACGAAAAGCCUUCUUUUAAUACAGGAGGGUCAUGACGGUACCGUAAGAAUAAGCACCGGCUAACUACGUG